UACGUAGGCAGCGAGCGUUGUUCGGAGUUACUGGGCGUAAAGGGUGUGUAGGCGGUUUUCUAAGUUUGGUGUGAAAUCUCCCGGCUCAACCGGGAGGGUGCGCCGAAAACUGGGAGACUAGAGUGCGGGAGGGGAGAGUAGAAUUCCUGGUGUAGCGGUGAAAUGCGUAGAUAUCAGGAGGAAUACCGGUGGGGUAGACGGCUCUCUGGACCGCCACUGACGCUGAGACACGAAAGCGUGGGUAGCAAACAGG
rnacentral:rRNA from 1 species